ensembl:lncRNA
UGCUGGUGAGGGUUACAUGAAUUAGCACACGGAAAGCAUGGAGCACAGUGCAUGGCACAUAGUAGGUGCUGAGUACACGUGGCUGUUGUGGUCUAUUCCACACCACCCCGCCACAACGGCUGCCUUAGAUUUUGACCGCUGUUAACUGUCUUAACCGCCUGAAGCUCUGUCGAGACUUCCCGGUACAGGUCUGUGUUAGUUAUGUACAGUGUGGCAAAUGACCACACACUUAGCAGCAUUUAUCCCCUCCCAGUCUCCGUGAUCAGGAGCGUGAGCACGGUUCAGCUGCAUCCUGUCAUUCAGUCUCAUGAGGCUGCAAUCUGGGUAUCAGUCAAGGCUGCAGGCUUACCUGAGGCUCAGCUGGGGAGGCUCACGUGGUCGUUGACAGAAUUGUUUCUUGCGGCUAUAGGAUGAGGACCUCGCUCUCUUGCUGGCUGCUGGGGGUCCUUGCAGCUAUGAGCUGGAGGCUGCCCGAGCCCCUGGCCCUGGGAGGUCCCGGGACCUGGUUGGCUGCUCGCUUCCUCAAGGCCCGUGGGGAGAGAGGAGCUCUAGCAGCAGCAGAACAAUAUUGUGUGGAUUCUUCCGUCUCACCCGGUUCAGACUUUUUUUUGGAGCCGCAGCCUCUACAAGAUCAGGGCUGCGUGUGGGUCAGGGCCAGGGUGUGAGCUCAGGCCAGGCAUGAGAACAGAGCUCCAGGGAGAUGCUAGGAAGGGACCGGGCUUUUGUUAGAUUGAUAAUAAACAAGCACAGGCCUUUCCAGGAGACACAGAGCCCAGAGCUAUCAAGACCUUGGGUUCUCUUCAUGAAAUAAGACACGAGACUGGGAGCUGCAGAUAACAGCAUGAAGGAGACCCAGGUUUGUUCCUUACACUGGGCAAAACCUCCCUGCUUAUCUGAGAUAAAGGCAGAAAUUGCUAUUUAUUCAGGUGCUACUCAAUCGUAUCCUCUUUUUGGCUCAGAGGAAGGAGUGCACAAUUCCUGCUGGACCAGGCCUCCGCGGAUGAAGUCUGUCUGGGCUGGAUCAUCACGCCCAACAGUGGGAGUGCAGGACUUCCCCAUGAGAAGGGGUGCUGGUCCAGUUUCCCUGUGCCAUGGAAAGAAGCACAGGGUGGGCAGAGCAGUGACCUGCUGGGCAGAGAGCAAAACUGGGUUUAUGAACUGUCUUUGGCUAUGAUGAAACGCUGGCUUCCCCGAGUGAAGUGUCAUCCCUACUGCCUCCGUUCUUCGUGACCCUGAGUCUUGUGGACAGUGAGUCUCUACAACGUCCAGCUGAUCUUUCAGUUCUGCAGUUCGUCCCUUCGUGACUACUCAGCUGAAACCUUUCUGGUAAGAAUGCCCCAAGGUGAUGUGUGCCUCUGCAUGACAUCACAGACACAUAAGGCCAGGCUCUCCCAUGGCCUGGCGUCCGGGUCAGAGGGUCUCCUCCAGAUUUCUCCAUGGGAAGCACAGCUCUCCCUUUGGAGUUAAUACAGGCUGGGGAGGGGAUGACACUGUUAUCGGGGGGUCUUGGGUUUUGAGUGACAGAAAACUCAUUCAAACCUGCUUCCACACAAAACACUGGCAAGCAGAAGGAGUUUUCUGGCUUCAGUGUGUGGGGUCGCAAAGUUCAGCAUCACGUCUUUUCCCUCCAUCUCUUGCUGUUCUUCUUUCCAUUGGCCUCACACACAGGGAGGCUCUUUCUCUGUGACGGAAAAAGUGACCACAGCCCCAGGCUCACAGGUCCUUACACUUAGCCAUGAAAGGAAGAGACAGCUCCCUUUACAAAUGGUUCCAGCCUCCAAGGCCCUGGCCUGCCCCUGGCUGGGGUCUUAUCCCGUCUCUGUCACUGAUUGGUUAGACCUGUACAUGCAGCCUAAUUACUUUCUCUUAUCUGUGUCUCACCACGAUGGGGGAAGGAGUAUGAAUGAAGGCCACUGCUCGUGUGGCUGGACAUGCAGGGUCACAGGGAGAUCCCCUGCCCCCAGGUAAUCCCAGCGUUGGGUAGUUCUGCACCUGCACCUGCUGGUCUGAAGCCUAGGGCACCAGGGCCUGGGGGCAUAUGUGUGUGUGGUGGCAGUGAGGGGACACAAAGGGUGUGGGCCCGUCAGCAGGGGCGGACCCAAUGAUUGCAGGUGCAGGGCUGGGGCUGUGGGUUCUAGGCCUGGCUCCCCCACUUCAGCUCUGUGGACCUGCUUGUGCCAACUCUCCUCCCCUGUCAAAUGGAUCUAAGAGCACCUGUUGUGCUUUUCUCUAGGUCCACUGUUGUAAGGACCCUAAGAAAUUGUGGGCAUGUGAUACUUUGUAAAUGUAAAGGUCUCUAGGGAUGUGGCCCUUCAUUCUACAGAGAGCCUGGGCAUUGGUCUUGCCAUCGGUGUGCUUCCAGAAAUCCUUCACUCUCUCCCCAUAAUAACCAUAGUCAGCCCCCUUCAGGUCAGGUAGCAAUCUGGGGGCUUAAAGAAAGGUGGGUGGCACUCUGCUGUGUCAGGUGAGGAAGCAAGAGGAUAGGAGACAGACCCACCACUGUGCGCCUCACAGAAUGAGUUCUCAAUUUCACUUCUCAAUUGGAAGCAUAAAUCACAUUCUUCAGUGUGUCACUCUGCUUCGAAGGAAUCCACUAAGUUAUAUUGGAGAUUUUCAAGGUUGUGGUUUUUACUUGUUAACAAAUCAAGCAAGUUAAGGAAUUAUUGCUUGUUAGUAACGGUAGACGUCAUUUGAUAAAGACUUGGCCAGUCAACGGGAGGCAUGGUGCUGAUCACGUGCAGCAGGCAGGGUGUGGGGCAUGGGACCCAGGCUGGCCUACAGAAGGUGUGCCGUCCUGGGUCCUCUGGUUUCAAGUUGCCCUGACACAGGAAGAACCUGCAUGAGAAUAAAGCUAGCAUGAGGGAAACAGAGAGAAAGGGAGAGCGGAUUGCUCAAAACUUUGAGUUCUUGGAUCCAGCCACGUUACCUCUGUUUUGAACUGGGUUUAUACAUAUAUAUUAUAUACGCAUGUAUGUGUGUGUAUGGUUAUUUCGUGUUGGCUUUAUAUAUAUAUGCACGUGUGUAUAUAUAUAUGUAUGUGUGUGUAUAUAUACGUGUGUGUGUAUAUAUAUGUGUGUGUGUGUGUAUGGUUAUUUCGUG